rnacentral:tRNA from 1 species
GGCUCGGUAGCGUAGUUGGUAAUGCACUUGUCUAGCGAAUAAGGGUCGUGAGUUCAAAUCUCACCUGAACUG